UACAACUUCAGCAACG
rnacentral:rRNA from 1 species